rnacentral:lncRNA from 1 species
AGCAAAACCAGUGCAGAAAUCAGGGCACUGGGACUCUACAGAUCUGAAAUGUAGCUUAUUCUGCAUAUGAUCUAAAGUGUUACUGCAGAUGAAAGAAGAAGAGUUAUUUUAAAGCCUAUAUUAUAUGUAUUUAAUGUCUGUGGUAAAUACAGUGCUUAUUACCUACAAAACAUUCCCUUUAUUUUUCAGCAGAAGAAUAAUCGAUGUUCUAUUUCCAUUAUGGGAGUGUAUAGACACUUACUGUAUUUUUCAGACUACAAUUCUCUAAUAUAUCUCCAUUUAUUUCCUUGAUAAUAUUCUAUUUUAGAAAUGGCAAGUAUCAGAACUUGCUAACUAUGUGCUCAUGAUCUAUUACAAAUGUCUGCUACAGGUUCAUCCUUUGGAAGGCUCACAAUCACACAAUUGAAAACUGACAAUUAUUCACCUAUGACUAAUGCAAAGUGAAUAGAGUCUCUAUAGAUCUUUCCCCACAUCUUCACAGCUUUGCACAGAUACAGAGAGACAUCCUGUACUGUGCCUGUAAAAUACUUACUUCCCGCCUGCCAAUGUUAAUAACAGAAUAUAGCCCCAUGACAAUUUCUUUCAAUUUGUAGUUUAUCUCAAUCAAAUGUAUUAUUAGUUUUAUUCAGUUCAUUUAAAAUUAACCACAUCUUCUGUUCAAAUGUUGCUGGAAUUGACCUACUAUGUCUAUGGAGAUAAUAAGAUUAAGGUGAAUGUAGUAAUGAAUAGUAUAACACAGCCUAAUUAUAUACCAUACUCCCAUUCACCUUAAUUUGAGAAAAAGCAGAAACUGGAUGGAAUUCAAAAGGCAGCAGAUUGAAAAUGGAUAAAAAGACUUUUUAUGUGGUGCAUAAUCAGCUUUCAGAAUUCACUGCUGAAGGAUAUUUCUCAGGCUAAAAUUUAGUAAAGUUUCAAGAUAAGAAUAAGAAUGGCAUCUGUGGGUACACUAGCUGGAUGUGAAUUUAUGGAAGCUAUCAAUCCUCCUGCUGGUAGCCAUAAAAUCAUCACCAGCUGGUGCUGGGAUGGAAACUCUCCCCGUGGUAUCCUACUGCACAAUUGGCCAGAUGCAUGAUGUGCUGUUGUUGUUGUACAAAGACAAAAGAACCCAGAAAGCCUUAGGCAGUAGUCUUUGCCAAAGGAAAGAUUGUGCACGUGAUGGAAACUUUCAGGCAAGCUAGGAGCUAUAUCCCUAGAAUCAAGACUAACAGUACCCUUCUCUACCUGUUUUCUGAUCAAAUGGCAUUUCCCCCACCAUGGUAAAACACAAUGACUCCUUUCCAUGGAGUUUAUUCAAUGUUAUCACUGAUACAUGUGCACUUUAUUUGUUAGAAAAGUAAUUUCUGCCAUGAAUAUCCAGACCACCUUUCAUUUAAAAGUGGCUCAUCCGAAAUGUCCCCCUUUUAAAGUGGUAACAAUGGAAAUGGUGGUGAUUGGGGGGAACUCUUAUAAAUGGACAGAACGGCAGGUCUAUUUGUUGGCAUUCUCCCUGACAUCCUGAACCCUUUAAUUCUGUCUGACAGAUUCAGGCCAUGCUCCAGAUCUCACAAAAGAGGUAAGAGAGAGUAUUGAUCUGCCUGUUAUUGUUGUUGAUUUACUGUUCCAUGCCUUUAGCAAAUUUAAACACACAUGCACACUUAUAAACACUCACCACUGGGGUCACAGCUGCUAGAUGGCAUAGUAAUGAGUGAUUAUUUUUUAUCUCUGCUAAGCUAUAUAAGUAACUUCUCUUGUGGAUUCAUGACAGCUCUGUGGAUUUAAGCCAAACAUAUAAUAUCUUUUCACUCUAAGGUCAAAGGGUUCCUAAACAUGGUAAUAAAUAUCUGCUUAAAAUAAAAACUCACACAUGUUGAAAGCUUGCAGAAAGCUUUCUGACCAUAUUAUAUGCUAAAACAAAUUUGAAAUGUGAAUUUUGGAGCAGUCUAACAAAGUGUUACCAAAAGGGUAAAUAACAUACAAGGUGUGGCUCUAAAAUCAUGAAGCUGUUUCCUCCCCCAGAGCCCAGAUCACCAUGCAGAUUGCUUCUCUUAAAUGGUACAACAUAAGGAAAGCCUGCUGACUCUAAGCAUGUCACCAUUGUACAAAAUGCUUUUGAAUUUAAUCAUCUCCUUCCCCAAAUUUCCAUUUUUCAUUGUUUUAGCCUCAAAACAUGACCUAAGCAAAUUAUGUUAUUGUAUUAAUGUACUCCCACUGAACCAAAUAGCACAGACUGGGUGACUUAAAUAGAGAAGCUGAUUUUCUCACAGUUCAAGAGACUGCAAGUCUAAGAUCAAAGUUCCAGUAGGAUUGGUUUCUAGUGAGGGCUCUAUUCCUGGUUUGCAGAUGGCCACCUUCUUACCACAUCCUCACAUCUUCUGUGUGUGCACAGAGAGAGUGAACACUGCUGUCUCUUCUUACAUGAGCACCAGUCCUAUCAGAUUAUCAGAUUAGGACUCCACCCUUAUGGACCUUAUUUAAUCUUAAUUACCUCCUUAAAGGUCCUACCUCCAAAUAGUUACAUUGGGAGGUUAGGGCUGUAAAAUGAAUUGUAGAGAUGGUCAUCAACACAACAGCCAUCUUAUUCAUUUGACUUAAUCACCCCAUUUUUUUUGCCUAUAUAAAAAAAAUCAAAUUUCCCCUUGAGAGGAUACCAAUCACUAUUUAGAUAAGUGCUGUUUCUUAGUAAAUUGAAAAAUAUAUCACAAAUUCUUAAGGCAAUUUUUAAAAGAGGUUUUACACAUGUGUUGAAAAAUGUAGCAUUUGCCAGAUUAAAUAAAUAGCUUCCUAAGAUGACUAUAUUCUUAUCUAUAGAGAAUAAGUCAUAAGAAUUAAUCAUUUUUAUUUCUUCAUUUAAAAACUUCAUAUCCACAUUAGCAAUGAGAUCCUGAUGUGUAGCACUGGGAACUAUGUCUAGCCACUUAUGAUGAAGCAUGAUAAUGUGAGAAAAAAGAAUGUAUACAUGUAUGUGUAACUGGGUCACUAUGCUGUACAGUAGGAAAAAAGUAAUGUAUUUGGGAAAUAAAAAUAAAGUAAAAUAAAAACUUCAUGUCAUACCAAUGCUUCAUUGUUCCGUAGAAAAAAAUGUUGAUAUCCUGAAUAAGCUCCAAAAUAGCUUCAAACAGCCCUUUUGCUAAUAACAACUAUAAACACUGGUUAAAAAAUUCUAAAGACAGCAUCUUGAGGGCUAUGGAGAGGAAAUAAGGUAGGCAGAUUCUGAAAAGAAGUUGUCACUAGAAAGAUGGAAAUAAUACUAUGUAUAUUUUCUGUCCCUCUGGAUUUGACUCAAUGAGAAGUGGCUAAAAUCCUAAUAUUCUGAUAGAAAGCCCACUUUCCUUAUGUCCUGAGCAAUCAGGGAACAAUGCCAUAAACCAUGGAUAUUAUGGAGAAUGGAAGGGAAUCAUGGAAAUGAGAGGACAAAAACACCUUACCACUCCCUACCCUGCCAAGCACAUUGUGGUUAAACUGGUGGCAAACAGAAGACAGGAAAAUAAAUCUUGAGAGCUGGAAAACUUGUGUACAUACCAGGAAUUGUGGUUAAAAAUACCAUAGAAUUUUCAUCAGAAACUUUGGAAGACAAAGACAGUGAACAAAAUCUUUAACUUAUCAAAGCAAAACAAAACAACAAUGAAUUCAGAAUUCUAUAUCCAUCAAAAAUAUCUCCCAAGAAUGAAAGAGAAAUAAACACAUUUUGUUUAAAGGAAAACUAGGAGAAUUGAUCACCAGUAGACCUACACUAGAAGAAAUUUUAAAAGGAAAUUCUUAGGCGUGAAAGGAUAUGAAGCCACAGAGAGACUCAUAUCUUCAGGAACAAAUGAAGAGGAUCAGAAAUGGUAAAUAUCUUAGUAAAUGUCAAGUUAUUUAUUUAACUUAUUUAUUUAAAAUACAAAUGACUAUUUAAAGCAAAUUUAUAAUGGACAUCAGAGAAAAUUCAAAGUUUCUAUAUUUCAUGUUAGUUUACAUUAACUCUGGCUAGAGAAGAUAUUUUGAGUGAAAGUAGAGUUUUCUUCACUGAAAUAUUCAUCCAUUUACUAACAUGAUUUGAGAAAAUUUUAACUCACAUUUAAUACAUUUGUGUUUUACUUCAUUUUAAAAUUGUGCUUGCUCCAUCAGCAGAUAUAUUAAAAUUGUAGUGAUAUGAUGGUAAUUUUCUUAGCCUUUGGGCAAGGAAUAAUUUAAUAAUGUAUAAAUGAUUUAAUAAGAAUGAAAUGAUAGAGUUCCCUCAUUCUUUCAAUAAAUACCUAUGGAAUGCUAUAGUGGAAAAAAAUAUAUAUGGAGUCUCUCAAAUCACACACACACACACACUCACAUCAAUACCAGCUUUAUUACAAAUAUAUGAGAAGGAAUGGAAACUUUUUGCCUUUCAAAUGAAAUCACACACCUUGUUUUAAAACAAGACACAGAAAGCACUAGAAAAGAAAUGAAUUAAGAAUAAUGGAUAAAUAAUCAUUUAAAUUAGAAUGUUUUGGGUCCAAGGAGGCAAGAUGGCAGAAGAGUAGGGGGACACACUCACCCUUUCCCACAAACACACACAACACACAAAAACACAUCUACAGGUUAAACAACUCACACAGAACAGGAAUUAAUCGCUGGCAGAGGAACCUGAACUCAAAUAAUGGCAAGAAUCUCGUGACAUAACUUGGUAAAACAAGAGAAAAGACGAGAGUGAGAGAAGGGGAAUCGGGGCUAGACUGGUGCUCCUGAAAGGGAACUGUGGAGGAGAAAAUGAUCCCACACUCUGGAAAGUCACCUACUUGACGGAAAGAUCAACUGAAUCGGAAGGAUCUCUAGAUGCAGAGAAGAGCACAGCAGUAAGUCUGAGAUCUGAAGAGCAGAGUGAGAACUGAACAGAUCAUCUAAACUACUGGCACAGUCAUCAAAAAACAAGAUGCUUGGGUGGGGCUGAGCACCAGACCUCGGCUCCAGAGGUUAGCCCAGGAGUGUGCUGGGGUGGGUGGUGUGGAGACUGCUUGGGGGACUAGGAACAGGUCGGUCAGGUUGGCAGGGCAGAGACUGCCCCGGGGGACUAGGAAUCGGUCUGUCGGGUUGGUGGGGCAGAGACUGCCUGGGAGACUAGAAAGUAGAGCGUCACGAGUGGAGGGAAAUAUGUUAAGGGCUGGGGAGUGGAAAGCCACAUCCGAGGGAACCUGGGAGAAGAGCUGGAUCUGUGGGAGAGACAAGGCACCAGUGUUGGGGAAGGGAGAGGAGGAGGGGUGGGCCACCAUAGAAUACUCCCUGCAACACAGUGAGCUCACUUGCCCGCCAGCUAUCAGAAAGUUGUGCUUCCCAGUACAUCCCCCCUUCCUCUACCCCACACAUGUGCCAGACCUGAGGCUGCCUGCCAUCCUGGAGGCUGGCCUCACCAUUUGCAGGAAGCUGACCACUGCAGGCACUUUCCCUGCCCUGGCCUGCCUGCCCUCUGGAGGGGCUAAACCCCCGCAGAGCAGCACCCAGCACCUCCAGCCCUCUGGAAAAGGCACACAGCCCAGAAAAGCUAGAACAACAUUGGCCCGGCCAUGCAAAAUCUGCUUCCAUUGCAGGGCAGUCCAGCCAAUUCUGGCUGCUCUGAGGAAGAGCCCCUUGGGUUCUCAGUGACCCAGCUAGCUGCUCCCACCCUCGGGGGUGCAGCACUCCAGUGGAACAGCUGUCCAUCACCACCAGCCCUCUAGAAGAGCCCACAGCCCAGAAAUACCAGAGCAAGUUCUGCCUGGCCAAGUGAAAUCUGCUUCCAUUGUGGUGCAGACCUCCCAGUCCUGUCUGCCCUCAGGAAGUCCUCCUUUGCUUCAGAGAGACCCAGUCAUCCCUGACCACCCUCAGGAAAAGCCAUGCUGACUCAAAGAAGACCAGCCAACAAUGCCAGCCCUUGGGAAACAUUCCACAGCAGAGCCAAGGCAAACCCUGCCCAGCCAUGGGGAGUACAACUCCACCAAGAAAAAGAAAACAACAAGCAAGAUAAAGAAGCUCAGAAACCACCCCCAGUUAAACCAACAGGAGAACUCACCUAAAGCAGUCAACAAUGAAACAGACCUCUGCUGUCUGACAGACUUAGAGUUCAAAAGGGAGACAGCGAAAAUACUGAAGGAAUUAAGAGAAGAUAUGAACAGUAAUGCAGACUCCGUCAGAAAGGAACUAGAAAAUACAAGGAGGAGCCAAGAAAAACUAGAAAAUUCAUUUGCAGAGAUACAAACGGAGCUAAAGGCAGUAAAAACCAGAAUGAAUAAUGCAGAGGAACAAAUCAGUGAUGUGGAAUAUACAAUGAUGGAAAUCACAAAAAUGUGACAGCAGACAGAAAACCAAAUGAAAAAACAUGAAAGCAAUAUAAGAGACCUAUGGGAUAAUAUGAAGUGGGCCAAUCUAUGCAUAAUAGGAAUUC